rnacentral:lncRNA from 10 species
UGUGCACCACCCUCUCACCCAAACGAAGGCAGCUGGCCCUGAAGUUCUCUGAGCUUGAGGACAAAAAAAGACCUCUGUGAGUUGUCAGGCUCUGUUACAGUCUGGGUCAGCAGACAAGAGUCCCAGGGCUCGGCCGUCUUCUCUAGGAGAGAAAAUAUUCGUGCCAUAUAGCGUGUUCUAAGAGUUCUCACCAGAAGCCCAGAAAGUUCUGUAUUUACUCAGCAUUCAAGGGAAAACAGACCCUGUAUUUUUGGGAUUCCUGAAAGGUGACCAGGGGAAUAUCCACAGAAGCAGAAGUAGGAAUGGGGAAGGAGGGGACAAGUUUAGACCAAGCUCUUCUGUGACCUCACUUCUGCUUUUGAAGUCCCACAGCUCUAUAAGGUUGGAUCUCCUGACCUUGGCCUGGACCUGGAUCUGGGAGGCUGACUCUAUUGACCAUGGGGAAGGAGCUAACAGGAUUGAACCUCAGGACCGUCCUCUGCAAAAUGAGGAAUUUAGGCUAGCACAGUGGUUCUCAAAGUGUGGUCCCCAGACCAGCGACCUCAGCAUCGCCCUGGAACUAGUUAGAAAUGCACAUUCUCUGGUCCCAACCCAGACCUACUGAACCAGUGCCUCUGGGAGUGGAUCCCAGAAAUCUGUGUUUUAACACACGUGCUAUCUAGGAGGUUCUGAUGCAGGCCAAAGUUCGAAAACCG